GCCCUGGUAGAUUAAUGGAAAUCACCCACUAUGUAACCGAAAGAGCUAGGUCGGAUUGACGUGGGAGACGGAGGUUCGAAUCCUUCUCAGGGCA